UACGGGGGGAGCAAGCGUUGUUCGGAUUUACUGGGCGUAAAGGGCGCGCAGGCGGCGCAUUUUGUCAGGCGUGAAAGCCCCGGGCUUAACCCGGAAACUGCCAUUGAUACUAUUUGUUUUGAAUACUGUGGAGGUCAGCGGAAUAUGUCAUGUAGCGGUGAAAUGCUUAGAUAUGACAUAGAACACCAAUUGCGAAGGCAGCUGGCUACACAAAUAUUGACACUGAGGCACGAAAGCGUGGGGAUCAAACAGG
rnacentral:rRNA from 1 species